GGAGCAGGUUAUUGACUAUUUAACAAGGCACUGGAGGGCUCAAGUAUAGAUCUGUCAUAAGCUAGUAUCUCUGUGUAGAUUGAUCUUGGGAAAUAAACAAUUACAUGACCGCCACUGCUAAGGCUGACAAGCUAAAGAAGUCACUGGAGGAUGAAGUUCAUUUUCUCAAGGGAAGGGUUUCCGAACUUGAAAGUGAUCUUAUGUCAAAGUCCACAAAAGUUACAUCUGCAGUUUCAGGGAAAGAAGAAGUUCUAUCUUCUACAUUUGGUGAAAUUGACCAUCUGAAGGAAGAAAAUUCUGUAAAAAUAUGAGCAUUAUUGCAUUAUAUGAAGGGUGUUUAUUGUGUUGGAGUGUAUUUGUUUCAUGCACAUGAGGUCACGCCUUAGUUGUAUACAACCACUCUUCUUGUUGUAGGUCUCAGAUAGUGGAAUUGGAAAUUCAGAUCUCUUCUUUCAAGGAAGAUCUUGAAAAGAAGCAUCUACGCUGGUGUACUAGCCAGAGCAAUCAUGAAAGACAGGUUUACUCUUAAUUUCUUGUCAUAAUUCUUAUUUCCCAUCUCAUUCAUGUGCAAUAGGAUAUGGAAGAACUUCGUACGAAGUAUUUGGAGAUGGAGUCAAAGCUAAAGUUCGAAUAGGUUCCUUUUUUGUAAUUCUUAUGAUAGGUUGAGCAAAGUGAAGUAUUGUUUAUUUAGAAAUGUGAAUGUGGGAUGCAUUGUAUGAUUUGAUUGCUAUUUGUAAUAAAUGCAUCAUUUUUUU